CAUGUCCUUUUGUUAAAUAUUUAAGGUCUGAUCUGCCCAAUGAAUUUGUUAAAUGGCCGCGAUAUUUUGAUCGUGCGAAGGUAGCAUAAUCAUUAGUUUUUUAAUUGAAAGCUGGAAUGAAGGAUUGGACAAAGAACUUUCUGUCUCUAUUUUAUUUAUUGAAGUUUAUUUUUGAGUUAAAAAGCUUAAAUUCUAAUGAAAGACGAGAAGACCCUAUAGAGUUUAAUAUUUUUAUAUUUUAAGGUGAAUUUUAGUAUAAAAUUCUUAAAUUUAAUAAAGUAUUUAAUUGGGGUGAUGGAAAAAUUUAAUAAACUUUUUCUUUAUAAAAUAUUAAUUUGUAGAUAUUUGACUUAUUUUUUUAGUUAUAAGAUUAAAUUACCUUAGGGAUAACAGCGUAAUUUUUCUUGAGANGUUCUAAUCGAAAGAAUAGUUUGCGACCUCGAUGUUGGAUUAAAGUUAAAAUUUGGUGUAAAGCUAAAUGAUUUAUCUGUUCACUAUUAAAACUUUACAUGAUCUGAGU
rnacentral:rRNA from 1 species